GGCCAGCUGCCUGAAGGCUUUACUUGCAGGGCCGCAUGGGGGGGCCAGAAGUCAUUACUCCUGCAGCCUCAGGAGAGAAGGCCGGGUGAAGGGAAGGCUGCCUCAGGAAGGGGCAGGGAGGCGCCUGGGAGAACUCAGCCUGUAGAAAUGGAUUCCCAUGAAUGGGACCUGUCACCAGUUCCCAGAUCCAGGCCAAACACAACUCCCCAGAGUGCUCCAUUGAGAAGGAAAGGCCGUUUCUGGAGUGCUGGUGAUCCAGGGUGACAAGCCUGCCCAAAGAGCCAGGAAGUGACCCGCCCCAGGCUAGACUAUGUCUGCGAUCAACCAGGAAAAAAAGUUACCUAACCACUCUGAACUCAAAGCUUUAGUGUUUAAAAAAAAAA
rnacentral:lncRNA from 1 species